rnacentral:lncRNA from 1 species
AUGGAGGGACUGGAGUCUCGGAACAAAAAGAGCCGUGAGGUUCAAUCGGAGGAGGGGCGCGAUCGUCAACCCCAUGCCCCCUUUAGAUCUGUCACCUCUCUCUUCUCGUACUUCUUGGAAAACACCACCUUCCACGGCCUGCCCCGAAUCUUUGGCGCCCCUUUCUUUCUGGAGAAGUUAUUUUGGGUGCUGGCGUUCCUCACAUGCCUCGGUGUCUUCACGUAUCAAGGUACCAAGAUCGUCAAAGACUACAUCUCCUACCCCUACUCGACUCGGACCGACAUCAUCACCGAGUCUUCGCUCGACUUCCCCGCCGUCACCAUCUGCAAUGUGAACAUGAUGAGGCGGUCGAAGCUCGUCGAUACCAGGUUCGAAGACCUGAUUGAACUAGAUGGUGAUGCAACAGGGGACACCGAUGACUACUCAUUUUGGUUCGACCAAUCCUUCUACGAACGUUUGGGCUCCGAAAACGGGAAUUCGAAUUCGUCCGGAACUUCAGGUGAAUCAGAUGGGACAUCCAGUAACUCUCCAGAGACUUCAUCUUCACCGGACGAUUCACAAGCAUCUGGACCACAAAAUCUGAACGGAGAAUUCGACUUCUUUGAGAGCUCCUGGGACGAUAGUUCUUUUGACUUCAGCUUCUACGACACAUGGGAAGGAAUAACAGAUGACAAUGAUUGGCAAGCCAUCUAUAAUCAAUCUCAGUCGCCCGAUUUCUCGGACCUCAGGGCUCUCCUCAACCCGACUCAGGCCGAACUCCAGGAAUACGGACACCAAGCUGAAGAUUUCAUCCUUCAGUGUAGCUUUGACCAACGCGCCUGCAGUUACAGAAAUUUCACGAUGUUUCAGCACAGCGAGUACGGGAAUUGUUUUACUUUUAAUGGAAGGACAUUAGAGGAACCUUUCAACAAGACAAGGAGAACAGGCAGGACUGGGGCAAACUAUGGUUUGCAGCUAACGCUCUUCGUGGAACAGCCUGAGCAUGUAGGACUUCUGACAGCAGAGUCAGGUGUAAAGGUAUCCAUCCACAGCCAGACUGAACAACCCUUCCCAGAAGAUGAUGGGCUUACCGCCUCCACCGGUCAGAAGACAGCCAUCGGUGUUAGGAAGCUCAACAUCACGCGGCUCGGCGGUUCUUAUGGCGAAGAAUGCACAAAAGCAGGAGAAGGCACCAACUUCACCUCGGAGACGUCCUCCUACACGGUCAACGCCUGCCUGAAGCAAUGUCUGCAGGAUACUCUACGCAAAUCAUGUGGUUGCAUUACAGACAUCAGGUUUGGCAACUACACGCAGUGCAGCUCUCUUAAUCCAACACAAGAAAGGUGUCGUCAGCUUGUGGAAUAUCUUUACCACUCUAGUACCUUGGAGUGUACUUGUCCAAUAUCAUGCAGUGAGGAGUCAUUCAGACGAACCGUGUCAGCAUCGCUAUGGCCAUCGACAAGAUAUGAGGUACACCUUGCCAAGCAGCUAGUGAGCAUCAACAGCAAGAUAGAAAGGAUCAUUGCAGAUGUGGAGAAAACCAGGCAAAAUGUCGUAAAUCUGGUGGUCUUUUUCGAGCAGCUUAACUAUGAGCUAAAUCAACAGUUGGCCGUUUACACCGUGGAGAGUCUUCUUGGGAGCGUGGGAGGUCUACUCGGUCUGUACCUCGGACUAUCCUUCAUGUCUAUCGGAGAGAUAAUAAUCCUCCUUCUCGGCUUCCUUAAAAUAUUUGGCGGGAAUGUCCUGUGCUCGUCCUGCAGAUCCAAAAGCGAAACAGCUGACCACGAACACGAUGACAGGUCGAAUUCGCAAUCUACUCAGACGACGUCGGACAUGAACGAUUACGAUGAAGGAACCCGUCGAACUCCGUGGUAUCGUUGUUUGGUGGCGUUAGCUACACUGUUUGUAUUUGCCUCGAUGGUAGCCGUCGUCGCUCUCGUAAUGCUGUUCGAACUCGGAGUCAUCAGUAUAAAUUAAUGAUACUCCACAAAGCAGCAAAUAAUGGUAUUUUGGUUAAAGUAGAGAAAUGUAAUGAUGGGGCCAAAGCUGGGCAGGCCCGUAGUGUUCAUUAACCGAAGGAUGUGGCAAUACUUAUAGAAAUUAGGCUUCUAUUGAAUUCUUUCUGGAAAGUGAGUAGCAAUGAGCAAGAACAAACAAACCAGAGUUCAGAACUUUGGAAAUGUUUGGAAUUUUGAACAUGUGAGAAGACUAUUCAUAUCAUAUCAGAAUAAGAUUUUUUUUCUUCAUAUUUAAGAGAAAUAAACAAAGGUCUAGCUAAUUUGCAUUUUACGAGUGAAUUUUAUCAACACUUUUAUUCUUCAAGGGAUAUUUUAGUGCCUUUGGGGCCUCGGAAAAAAGUGUGGUAUUCCUUUUAAACUUCUUAGAAUAACAUUUUAUUUUAUAUAAGUAGGCUUGAUUCGUAAAAUUAUAUCCGAAAAAGUAACUAGUAAAGAAUAGAUCCCUGAAAAUACAUUGAGUUAAAGCUGAAAGGAAUGUAUCUUACACGUGAAUGCUAUCAAUAUAUUUGUUCUGCAAGGUAUAUGUUUUAAGUGCUUUGGGGGCCUCGACAAAAAAAGUGUGGUAGUAUUGUUAGAAGACAGAAAUUUCCUUUCAGAAAAUAGGAACUAUUUGAUCCGAUGUUCAGAGUUGUGUUUUCAAUGGAGACGUAUUAACUGGAUAUUUUCGUAUUGAGAAAGGUGUGAGACAAGGUGACCCUUUGUCUCCCUCUCUAUUUUUACUCUGCAUUUACAUUCUUGCUCGCGCAAUUCGCAGCGAUUCGGUUAUUCAUGGGGUUCCCUUUGAUGAUAUUUACGUUAAUAAAUUCUUUAAUCAGAUGAAAUGUCGCUGUCUAUUCAAGAUAUUUAAUCUUUUAAUAGACUAAAAACAUUAUUGACUAGUUUUGCUGAUGUGUCUAGAUUGAAGAUGAAUAGAGACAAAACUUUUGUAUUAUUGUUAGGUCCAAUCGCGGAUAAAAAUGCAACAGUUCCAUUUGGUAGGAUAGUUAACAUUGUAAAUAUAUUAGGUAUACACGUUAGACGUGGAAAGCUAGGAAAUAAUUAAUUGCAAAGAAAUCUUAAAUAAAAAUAAUAAGUUACUUAUGUGGUGGAAACAAAAAGAUUUGACUUUGAUGGGGAAAAUUCAACUAAUUAAGACUUUUGUUCUAUCAAAAUUAGUUUAUGUAUCCUCAUUCACACCAGUACCGCCUUGGGCAUUCCGUGAAGCUGAAAUGUUAACAUUAGAUUUUGUUAUGGAAUGGAAAAGAUACAAUCAAACAGAGUACUAAGGUUUUAGAUUACGAUAAGGGAGGUCUUAAAUUGAAAGAUGUUCAAUUAUCUAUUCGAAUACAAUACAGUGGGACAUGGAAGAGACUGGAUUUCAAACGACUGUGUAGAUGUGGCUGCAUGUGUUCGGGAAGUGAGAGGGAACUGUGGAGCUUGGGAAGAUUUGGGUAUAUGGAGCGGGAAGGGUGGAUAGGUAAGAUUGUAAUAAUGAUAAUAAUGAUAACAAUAUUUAUAUACCUCACUAAAGAAAUCCAGCCAUCUGAUUGGUCGAAAUUGGAGUCAUGAUUUUAGCCAUUCCCGUAAAGACACGAAAAUGCCAAUACCGGUUAAUAGUCCAAGAGUGAGAUCCGUCGUGCUCCUUGUGUUUGUUAAUUCUUUUAAAAAACGCCAUCAAUAAUUUACGUGGUACAUGUAUUAUAGAUGAAAAUUCAAAAGGCAAGAAGAUGUUUUUUUUCCCAUUUUUGUUGUUGUUGUUAACCCUUUAUAUACGACACAAAUAAUUUUCCUAUGUGAUAGAUAUACCAAACACUUAUUUAAUUGUUUCAAGUGCAACAUUGUACACCGUUGUUAAGAGGGUUUUCAUGGAGCUAAUGAAGACCGGAAAUGGGUAUCUAUUUUGUGCACAGUCAUUGUGUUGCACAAAGCAAUCCUUCCAGCAGUUGGUGCUUAUUGUUUUGUGAAAAAUUACACGUGGUGCAAACGAGCUACCGUGCAGAGAGAUGAAGAAAGCAAC